rnacentral:rRNA from 1 species
UACGGAGGGUGCGAGCGUUAAUCGGAAUUACUGGGCGUAAAGGGCGCGUAGGCGGUUGAGUAAGUCGGAUGUGAAAGCCCCGGGCUUAACCUGGGAAUUGCAUUCGAUACUGCUCGGCUAGAGUAUGGUAGAGGGAAGCGGAAUUCCGGGUGUAGCGGUGAAAUGCGUAGAUAUCCGGAGGAACACCAGUGGCGAAGGCGGCUUCCUGGACCAAUACUGACGCUGAAGCGCGAAAGCGUGGGGAU